GACGAACCGUGCGAACGUUGUUCGGAAUCACUGGGCUUAAAGGGCGCGUAGGCGGCCCCGCCCGUCCCGGGUGAAAUCUUCCGGCCCAACCGGAAAAGUGCCCGGGAUACCGCGGGGCUCGAGCGAGGCAGGGGCGGGGGGAACUUCCGGUGGAGCGGUGAAAUGCGUUGAUAUCGGAAGGAACGCCGGUGGCGAAAGCGCCCCGCUGGGCCUCUCCUGACGCUGAGGCGCGAAAGCCAGGGGAGCGAACGGG
rnacentral:rRNA from 1 species